GCCCAGCCUAAAAGAGGCUGUUAAAUCCCUAACACACCUUUGCUGAAACCCAUUUCACCAUUUCAAUUGGCCUUUCACCAUUCAACAACUUCAAACUUCUACCUCACAUAAGGAUUCAAGUGCAGAGCCACCAAACAAAUCAAAGCAGCACACAUUUCAGAUCAAGCAACUCGCAAUUUCAGACUUGAGCAACUUGAAACUCUUAAAGGACCUACAGAAGAGGAUACUUAGGUUCCUGAUCAGCUCAGUUAAAUUAUUUGGAUUGUCUCCAAAUCAGAUUGAGCAGCUGGUGGUGACAUGCGAGGCUGAGGAAGAGUUGUUGCCAUGGAUUUUGAAGAAAUGAUAUGUUUACUUCCGCUGAAAUAAAUUCACUUAGUGAAUAUUGUUUGAUGCCUAACUAUGUUAAUACUUUUAUUCAUAUUUUUAAUAUGAAUUUCACUCU